GGCAGCAGUGGGGAAUCUUCGGCGAUGGGGGGAACCCUGACCGAGCAAUGCCGCGUGAAUGAAGGAAUACUUCGGUAUGUAAAGUUCUUUUAUUUGGGAAGAACGGCUAGUGGAAAAGCUAGAGUGACGGUACCAAAUGAAUAAGCCCCGGCUAACUAUGUGCCAGCAGCCGCGGUAAUACAUAGGGGGCAAGCGUUAUCCGGAAUUAUUGGGCGUAAAGGGUGCGUAGGCGGUUAGUAAAGUUUAAGGUAUAAGCUCAUGGCUCAACCAUGGGAGGCUUUAGAAACUGGCUAACUUGAGUGCAGUAGAGGCAAGUGGAAUUCCAUGUGUAGCGGUAAAAUGCGUAAAUAUAUGGAGGAACACCAGUAGCGAAGGCGGCUUGCUGGGCUGUAACUGACGCUGAGGCACGAAAGCGUGGGGAGCAAACAGGAUUAGAUACCCUGGUAGUCCACGCCGUAAACGAUGAGUGCUAGGUGU
rnacentral:rRNA from 1 species